CAGUAGACAAAGGUUGUUCAACUGGACGCCUUAGGAUACAUGCUUCCAAAAACAAAGUAGCUGAAAAGAAACUAGAAUAACAGGAUAUCAGAGCCAGAGGAGCAUUUGGAGAAGUACGGGAAGGAUGAAAUUACUUUUGAUGGAGAGAGCAUUUAGUGUCUCAGAGAGAAGACAGGACAUCAUUCAUCACUUUCAUGAUGGGGCCGGCAGAUACCACCAUGGUGACGUUUGUGGCAGAAGAGGUGGAGCCAGGGACUGGGGAGAAGAAACGCAAACACAUGAUGGGUUAAAAACUGGUGAAAUCGAAUAGGUUUAAUCAGGACUGAGGAAGGUCAGUAACUGAAAUUCUUAACUUACUGUUGAGAAAAACGUGAUCACUCCCCACAGCACUUUAAGAUCCUUCACCACAAAAACAAGGUUCGAGGUGCCUGAGCUCAGAGCUGAAGGCACUGCCUGUAGCUCAGACUCUGACAAGAGUGAGGUAGAUUGUGGCCAGCAUGCCAGGUAACGGUCUGCAGUUGCAAUAACAGAAUUAGAAGGUGGGGGUGUCAUGGAAUCUUAGGAGCCCUGCAUUCCAAUUGCCCAGGCUUUGCUGAAACACAGGCACCCUGGUCUCACUUGAGGGUCACCACCAAUGGGGAUCAUUCCUUCAGCAUUCACUCUCAGUAUUCGUGUACCCUUGUGACAAUGCCACAGACCCAUCUCUUUCCCAAUACAUCUAAGCAUAUUCCUCACUGUUUAUCUCUUGUCUGUACAACAUCAUCAACCAGAAACAGUUUCCCAACAGGUUAUAUUUUCUUAAUGGUAGUCAUGAAGUCACCCCACCUGCUCUAAGUUAAAACAGAGCUUAAGCCUUUUCCACAGGUAUAAGAUAUCAAACUUUUAGCCUGCCCUGAUAUCCUCUGGGUCUUCUGCAGUUUUUUCUGUAUCCACUAGAAAGUGAAUGAAUAAUUCAUUUUUUAAAAAUGUUUUCUUUCCUGUCUCAGUAUUCUUCUUGCUGCAUCCCAUGGUUAUGUUGAUUUCUUUUUUCUUACUGGGGCACCAUCUUGGGCUUUCAUUAUGCUCUAGACCAGUUUGACAUCCCUACGUCCAAAGCUCUUCCUCUACAUGGGUUGAUUUGUUUUUUAAUGUCUCUGAGCACUACAUUUUAUACUUGUCACUUAUGAAUGUCAUUCUAGUGCCACAAGAGCUCUUUUCAAGAUAUCAAGUGAUCAAAAUCAUUUAUAUAGAGAGAUCUCCUGAAAACAUGUGUGACCAUCUAUUUUGGGAAGUUUCAUAAACUUGAUGCUAUUUUAUUGUUUCCAUUUCAUUUUCCCAUAUAUUGAAAAGAACAGGGCCAUGAACAGUUCUUAUGGAAUAUGGUUUGAUAUAUAUUUUGCUGAGUUGGACUAACACCAUUUGUUUUUGGUUACAUUCCACUAACAGAACAUGGCAAGAUAAGUUUAUGGUCAGGGUUGGUUGGUGAUCCUCAGUGUUGCUGCGCAGUAGAAGGUUUUGUGAGCCUGGAACUUGGGAGACUGUUCGGUAGCCCAGGUCUCCUAAGAGUGGGUGCAGUGGCUGUGACCCUGGGCUGCUCAGCAUUCAUGUGGAAAUGAAGGAAGGAGGACUGGAUCAAUCCCAUUUGAAAGCAUCCUUCUCUGCAGCCCACACAAUCCUCCAAUGACACUGACAGAGGUGUACCCUCCUAGUGUACUGGGACCAAAAUUCGGAAGUGUCUGCAAACUUGCUUUAACCGUAUGGGAAAUAACCUCUAUCACCUGGAAUUUCCUUGGGACUUUGGAAAAUACAAGAGAAGUAUGAGACUUGGGUCUUCCCUUGGCUGUGUUUAAUUCACUCUUCUAUGGAAUACCAAUGAUUCUCACUAAGACUUUUGCCUUUUUAUAACCACAAUGUAUGCUUUAUGGAGAAGAUUUUACUCUUUGCUCUACUUAGAAAGAAUAAAUAUGAGCAAUGCUUUA
rnacentral:lncRNA from 1 species